rnacentral:lncRNA from 1 species
AAUAAGAAGCGUAUAAAGAAUAUAUGCAUCCAUCCUGUGUGCGAUGACUAUAAAGGGUCCUGAGUGCACUUCGUAUGUCAUGAGUGCAAUCAGGAGGUCCUUCAAGCGGUGUUUAGACGUACCGUUAUUCUUCUGGAAGCUUCAAUUUUUUUUUUAUCAAUAACUUUUACACAAGGAGACAUUUUUUUUUUUUGACAGCAUGAACCCC